rnacentral:pre_miRNA from 1 species
UUGAUAGAUUUGAGGACUUCAACUUGCAAAUUUAGCAAAUUUGGAGAUUUCAGUUUGCAGACUUGAUGAAUUUGACGAUUUCAACU